rnacentral:rRNA from 1 species
UGGCGACGGAUGUCCNGGUUUAAGCGUGUAGGCUGGUUUUCCAGGCAAAUCCGGAAAAUCAAGGCUGAGGCGUGAUGACGAGCACUACGGUGCUGAAGAACAAAUGCCCUGCUUCCAGGAAAAGCCUCGGCAUCAGGUAACAUCAAAUCGUACCCCAAACCGACACAGGUGGUCAGGUAGAGAAUACGAGGCUUGAGAGAACUCGGGUGAAGGAACUGGCAAAAUGGUGCCGUAACUUCGGGAGAAGGCACGCUGAUAUGUGGAGGUCCCUCGCGGAUGGAGCUGAAAUCAGUCAAUACCAGCUGGCUGCAACUGUUUAUAAAACACAGCACUGUGCAAACACGAAAGUGGACGUAUACGGUGUGACGCCCCGGUGCCGGAAGGUUAAUUGAUGGGGUUAGCGCAAGCGAAGCUCUUGAUCGAAGCCCCGGUAAACGGCGGCCGUAACGAUAACGGUCCUAAGGUAGCGAAAUUCCUUGUCGGGUAAGUUCGACCUGCACGAAUGGCGUAAUGAUGGCCAGGCUGUCUCCACCCGAGACUCAGUGAAAUUGAACUCGCUGUGAAGAUGCANUGUACCCGCGGCAAGGCGGAAAGACCCGUGAACCUUUAUAGCUUGACACUGAACAUUGAGCCUUGAUGUGCGGGAUAGGUGGAGCUUUGAANNGNGUGGACGCCAGUCUGCAUGGAGCGACCCGAAAUACCACCUUUAAUGUUUGAUGUUCAACGUUGACCGUAAUCCGGGUUGCGGACAGGUGUCUGGUGGUUGACUGGGGCGGUCUCCUCCUAAAGAGNAACGGAGAGCACGAAGGUUGGCUAAUCCUGGUCGGACAUCAGGAGGUUAGUGCAAUGGCAUAAGCCAGCUUGACUGCGAGCGUGACGGCGCGAGCGGCGAAUNGCUGAGUCAUAGUGAUCCGGUGGUUCUGAAUGGAAGGGCCAUCGCUCAACGGAUAAAAGGUACUCCGGGGAUAACAGGCUGAUACAGCCCAAGUUCAUAUCGACGGCGGUGUUGGGCACCUCGAUGUCGGCUCAUCACAUCCUGGGGCUGAAGUAGGUCCCAAGGGUAUGGCUGUUCGCCAUUUAAGUGGUACGCGAGCUGGGUUUAGAACGUCGUGAGACAGUCCGUCCCUAUCUGCCGUGCGCUGGAGAACUGAGGGGCUGCUCCUGGUAGAGAGGACCGAGUGGACGCAUCACUGUGUUCGGGUUGUCAUGCCAAUGGCACUGCCCGGUAGCUAAAUGUGAAGAGAUAAGUGCUGAAAGCAUCUAAGCACGAAACUUGCCCGAGAUGAGUUCUCCCUGACUCCUUGAGAGUCCUGAAGAACGUUGAAGACGACGACGUUGAUAGGCCGGGUGUGUAAGCGCAGCGAUGCGUUGAGCUAACCGGUACUAAUGAACCAUGNG